rnacentral:rRNA from 1 species
AUUGAACGCUGGCGGCAGGCCUAACACAUGCAAGUCGAGCGGAUGAAGGGAGCUUGCUCCUGGAUUCAGCGGCGGACGGGUGAGUAAUGCCUAGGAAUCUGCCUGGUAGUGGGGGAUAACGUCCGGAAACGGGCCCUAAUACCGCAUACGUCCUGAGGGAGAAAGUGGGGGGUCUUCGGACCUCACGCUAUCAGAUGAGCCUAGGUCGGAUUAGCUAGUUGGUGGGGUAAAGGCCUACCAAGGCGACGAUCCGUAACUGGUCUGAGAGGAUGAUCAGUCACACUGGAACUGAGACACGGUCCAGACUCCUACGGGAGGCAGCAGUGGGGAAUAUUGGACAAUGGGCGAAAGCCUGAUCGAGCCAUGCCGCGUGUGUGAAGAAGGUCUUCGGAUUGUAAAGCACUUUAAGUUGGGAGGAAGGGCAGUAAGUUAAUACCUUGCUGUUUUGACGUUACCAACAGAAUAAGCACCGGCUAACUUCGUG